rnacentral:rRNA from 1 species
GACGAACGCUGGCGGCGCGCUUAACACAUGCAAGUCGAACGGAAAGGCCUGCUUUCCCUUGUGGAUUGCGGGUACUCGAGUGGCGAACGGGUGAGUAACACGUGAGUGAUCUGCCCCCAACUUGGGUAUAAGCCUGGGAAACUGGGUCUAAUUCCCGAUAGGACUGCAGGGUGGUGCCUGUGGUGGAAAACGAUUUUCCAGUGGUUGGGGAUGAGCUCGCGGCCUAUCAGCUUGUUGGUGGGGUAAUGGCCUACCAAGGCGGCGACGGGUAGCCGGCCUGAGAGGGUGGACGGCCACAUUGGGACUGAGAUACGGCCCAGACUCCUACGGGAGGCAGCAGUGGGGAAUAUUGCACAAUGGGCGGAAGCCUGAUGCAGCGACGCCGCGUGGGGGAUGACGGCCUUCGGGUUGUAAACUCCUUUCGACCGCGAGGAAGCCACCUGGUUGGAAGGGUGGUGACGGUAGUGGUAGAAGAAGCACCGGCUAACUACGUG